GAAUUCGGAAUUCCGGGAAGAGGAAACGAAAGUGCUGAAUCGACAGAAUCAUCAUCGGAUGAUAUGGACGAGUGAACGAGUUACCAGUGUUGAAAUAACGGUACUUAUUUAUCAUAGCAUUCAUAACUAUCUAUCAAAAGACGAAUACCGCAGCAAAAACUACAAGUGUAAACGGACCUUAUAGGCAGAUUAUAAAGAAUACACCCGCGAUACUAUUGGUUUACUCCAGCAUAUGACUCCAGUCACAAAUUAAGUCAGCAAUUAAAGAAGAUUAGCGACAAUAACCGCGUUUACACUAAAACCCGAUUCUCGAAGCGACGUAUAGCAAAUCGCUUAUUAGGCACCUAAAAAUUGCAUUGCCACAGAUUAUUGAGAUCGCCUUCUUUCGGCGAUGUAUUAAUUAGACCUGAGUGUCUGGACUGCAGACCGCCUUUCUAAGUUUUCUUUUAUCUGACACCUGUAAAACUAUAGAUAUCACUAGAUAUUUAAUGUGAUUAACCGCGUACUGUGUCAUUGUGUCAUUGUGGGAACAAUGUCUACGAUUGCAUUACGUCAUUUUCAAGAUUAGGUUCCACGGUCUAGGAGCCUGGGAACGAUGGUAUGAAAUCGGGAAUUUUUAGGAUACCUCGGAGGAUAUAAUAGUUCAGAUUUUACCGAGUUGCGGUUGACAGCGUUCUUAGCAAAGUCUGCAAACUUUGAACUUCAUACCGACGUACUUCUUGAUCGGCCUCAACUAUGAACAAACGACUGCAGGACAUAACUGACAGCGAUAUCUCGCGUUCACAUCUUUCUCCUCCGACAUACACGACCUUAACUGCAAAAGUCGUCAGCGUUCACGAUGGCGACACUUGUGAUUUGGUGUAUAUACGAAACGGCCGCUUUGAACGGUUCAAAUGUCGCUUGGCCAAUAUUGACACACCGGAGUUAGGCACUGGUCUGAGAGCGAAGAAGGCCCGUGAUUUCCUAGUUUGGUUAAGCCUGGAUAACAAUCCAGCAAGCUUUCCCGGCAGCAGUCAGCCAUUUUCAGAGCAUCAAAUUCAGAACAGCUUGGACGGCAACAAAGGGCUGGUUAAUGCGGAAUUUCAAGGUACAGGCGGAUACGGAAGACCUUUGGUUGUCUUAAGAAAGUCUUAUGGGAAAUCCUUUAAUGAUCUCCUGAUAGAUUAUGGCUAUGCUAAUCGUUACCGCUAAAAAACCGCAUCUUCUGACACUGAUUACGGAUUAAACACAAACUAAAUAUCAUAUUUUUAGGGGACAUUAGUUUGUCAUUACUCGUUAGCUAAAUAGAAAAGGGCUUCGAUUUUCAUCUUCACUGACACUGAAUUUUGGUUGUCUUUGAAAUGACUUAUAUUCGUAUAAUUUGAGAACGACUUCGACACAAUAUCUUACGUAAUUAAGUAGUAUUAUAUCUCUUAUAGUUUAAGGUUAUUUAUAAGUCACACAUUUAAUAUAUCUUAUUGUUGGUACAAAUGAUAAAUGUCUUUGGUAAUCUUUACUUUGCCUAUUCCACAGACAAAUUUUGCAUUUCUCGGCUGAAUAAUCAGACUUAAUUUCCAUUUAUGUAAACGAGCAAGCGGGCGGUCUCUUUUCACGGUAUUUCCCCCAAUUCUGGGAAGAGAAAAACGAAAGUUGCUGAAAUGGCACAAUCGCAAUCAUUCUCGUUUCCAGAGCCCGCGAUUUCCUCUGGCGAGGAAACAAAGGCUUAUUUUCACAGAUUUGUGCGAAAGUUAAAGUGGAAGUGAAGUCUGUUCUGCACAUAGGCACAGAGCAUACAGAGUUUUGACUGCCGUUAAUUUUGCGUACCCCUGGCUUAGCCAGUGCGCUUAAGAGAGGCCUUCUCCCCCCGGGAAAGCAUGCAUAUGGCGGCGGCUUGAACACAUGAAUGGAAUAUAAACAGCCGAGACAAUUAUCCUUUAGAAGAGUAUAGAAGUGGGAGCGAUCUGUUUAUUUAUAUAGCGAUGGCUAUUUAUAAUGUUUGGUGGGGAUAGAGCCUCUCUUUAGCGCACUGGCUAACAACAUGGCCGCUAGGAACCCAUAAUUAAUGCAAGGUCAAACCUCUGUAUGCUCUGUGACAUAGGUUCUGCUUUGCAUCGGUUCUGUUUUGAGACAAGUUUUCAUGAUCGUGUUAAAAAUUAAAAUACUUUUCCAGACCAUGUUUAAAAUGAAGGAAGCUACGGUCGUAGGACAAAAAUAAUGAAAACCCUCGAGUGAUCUUUCCUGAUUAUAAAAAAGCACUUGUCUUAUGCAUGUGGGUGUCUUAUCUAGGUAUAAUCUCCUAAUAUAUUGUACCUCUAAUUCAAGUCUUCAUUAAGGCCAGGAUAUGGACUUAAGAAUAAUACAUUAUCUCGGCAUAUUGCCUUUGAAAUUACCGAUAAAUGCUGACGAAAUUUUGCCACCAUGGUUACGAGAUGAGCUCUGCAUAAUGAACAUUCAGGAAAGGCUUAUGCGUUUUAUCACUCCAUCACUCGGUCUUGGCACCUGAAGCAAGAAACAGCUCAAAAUACAACAACAAGAAGAGUUUUGAAGAAGAAGAGUUUCACAAGUAUAACAACAAUGAAGAGUUUUGGGCUCUGUUGUUUGCUUUUGUUAGCUUCAGCCUGCGUGUUUGUCGCUCGAGCUAAGUUGCAAAAUAAGCCUGAGCUAGCGGAUGAAGUAGGUGACGAAGAUGACACGGAAGCCAACGAAAAAGACACGGGAGCCGACGAAGAGGACGCGGAAGCCAACAAAGAAAACACGGAAGCUCACGAAGAAAACGAAUUUUGGGAAACCGAAAAAGAUGAAGAAACUACAGAUGUUGCUCCUCACAAGCCCAAGAAGCAAGGUUGGUAAUAUAGCAUGUUGGGAAUGCUACCAAUUCCAUAGAGAGCAUCAAUUGUGCGAGAUCUGUGCUCGACGUGUAUGUACGCGAUCGUGCUGGCAAAAAUCAUGCAAAAUAGUUACAUGCAGUGGAGUAAGACCAUCGUAUCGUAUCCAGUACACAAACGUCAGACACGGUCACGGGCAUCGCCAGUUUAAAAAGAUCAUACAAUUGCCAUACGGAGUUUGUUGGAGUCCAACCAAAAUCUGCUACCAAUGUGACUAUAUCCCUUCCAAAUGUAAAGAGGUCUGCCGCUUGGAAUACGACGUCAAACCGGUGAAGUCAUGAUGCCUAAUUUUCUUAAAAUGGUGAACAAUGUACUCUUUACCGAAAGUAGUCAAAAUUUAUGGGUUCUAAUUGGGU